UCGCAAUUGGCGGGCGGUCUACACAUGCAAGUCGAGCGGCAGCGGGGAAAGUAGCUUGCUACUUUUGCCGGCGAGCGGCGGACGGGUGAGUAAUGCCUGGGAAAUUGCCCAGUCGAGGGGGAUAACAGUUGGAAACGACUGCUAAUACCGCAUACGCCCUACGGGGGAAAGCAGGGGACCUUCGGGCCUUGCGCGAUUGGAUAUGCCCAGGUGGGAUUAGCUAGUUGGUGAGGUAAUGGCUCACCAAGGCGACGAUCCCUAGCUGGUCUGAGAGGAUGAUCAGCCACACUGGAACUGAGACACGGUCCAGACUCCUACGGGAGGCAGCAGUGGGGAAUAUUGCACAAUGGGGGAAACCCUGAUGCAGCCAUGCCGCGUGUGUGAAGAAGGCCUUCGGGUUGUAAAGCACUUUCAGCGAGGAGGAAAGGUUGAUGCCUAAUACGUAUCAACUGUGACGUUACUCGCAGAAGAAGCACCGGCUAACUCCGUG
rnacentral:rRNA from 1 species